GUGGAAACAUGGACAUAUUUUUGUUAGAGCUCUAAAUCUAGUGAUACAUCAUUGAUUUUAUCUCUGCCAGGAAAUAAAACCUUCAGCUGCAGCUAAGAAUUUGGAGGUUACUGAAGGAGGUUACUUUUUCAAGAGCAGAAGUAAGGAUUCCACUGAAUUUGCUCACCAAAGAUAAGUCAGCAAAGAAAACUUACUGAAGAAUACAGGUUGUCUACUGUGUUUCUCUUAUUUUUUGGAGGUUAUUUGAUCAUGUUUAUUUGAAAAUUGACCCCUGUAUGACAGUCCAUUCUGUUGAGUUUAUUGUUAAAAGAGCAGGAAUGAUUAAUGACUAUAGUGAAAUUAUGGAUUCCUAUUGUUACUAGACUAAUAUUGUAAGAACCAGCUAAAUCUUAUAAUGUAUGAUACAUUUAUGUGUGGCAUUCUUUGGUGUAGAAAUGAUUGUUUAAAUGCUGAUGCUAUGUAGUUUACCUUCUGCCUAAAUCAACAUCAGUGCUAAAAAUAUGUAUAAGUAAGGUGAAUAUUUUGAAUUUAUUUAAGGCCCUUCUCCAUAAAAGAAGAAUAAUUUAAAUAUUUUUUGUAGAACUAUGAGAAAAGCUGACUAAUUUGCAUAAACUGAGGAGCACAAUUGGAAAUACAGCAAAAUUGUUUAAUUAUUUUUAAGUGAAUGCAAGUUUAUUAAAAAAGUAAAGGAUCUCUAAAAGAAUGGCUACUCCAUAGGCAGAGCAACAAAAAUUACUGAAUUUUUAAGUGAAUAUAAUCAUAUUGCUUUGACUUAUUGUCAUCUAUUUGUAAGAAAUAGCUAUUCCACAAUCUUCUUAAUGUUUAAAUAUUUUGUAAUAGGCAUUAAUAUUAUAUAUUUUUAUAUGUUAUUCAUAUAUAUUAGUAAUAAUAACUAAUAAAUAUAUAUUUCUUAUUAUGUACCCGACAUUGGAGUAAGUAUCGAGCCUGAGGUGAGUAACAUUAUUACCUGAUUUAACAAAUGAGGAAACUAAAGUCCUUAAAAAUGGUGGCUUUUGUUGACAUAUGUUGUUUUGAAUGCUCUCCUUCCUGUUCCCCAUCAUUUGGCAAGAGUUCCUUGGGAAAUGACUCCUCCACUGAAUGCAAUCAAGUUAAAACUGUCAAGCUAUAUAUUUUUCUGCCUUCUCUAAGAAUAAAUGACGGUCAAGUGUUCUUUCUUCCAGGAACAUAAAUCUUAAGCAGACUUACAUAAGAAAGGGAAGUGGUUGAAUCUGAGGUAUUUCCAUGGUGGUCUUUGAGGAAAGCCUUUCAUGAGUUCCCAGUCCAUAUCCUUCAAAGGGUUUCUUGGAUAUGCUUUAUUUAUGCCUAAUUUUCCAGCUUCUCUUUAGUGUUGCAUGCUCUAAUAUUUUAUUCUCUCUCUUGUUUUUUGCUUCACUUAGUUAGAAUUUCUUUCAUCCAAUGAAGAAUUCUAAUGAGAAACAUUAAUCUGUAAUUUUGAAUAUUCCAGAAUAAUCGUGGUAUAAACAUUACAUCCUGCUGUUUCCCUAAUUACUUGAAAUCUGGAUAUUCCAAUUUCGACAACGAGAUCUUAAAAUUGUAAUUCCCAUGUCAUGUUAUACAUAAAGUACCAGGCAAUCACUGUACUUUGUUAGCCUACUUGCCCCCUUUGAAUUAUUAUGUUGGAAAAUGUGGCCACUUUGAGUACAUUACCUUUGAAUCAUCAGUAGGUGGAGAUUAAUUAUGUUCUUCCAACUUAUUGGGCUUUGUGACCUUUACUUAUUUAUUCAUUUAUUUGUUAAAUAUCCUUAAUGAUUUCAACUCUAAAAUUCUGUUCCUGUGACCUGUACUGCAGUCUUUCCCUUUAUAUGCAAAGAUUCUGCAAUCAUUGGAUAUUUUUGCAUUAGAUUUUUAAAUUGAGAUGCAAUUCACAUACCUUUGCAUAAUGUUUAUUACUUUAAAAAUGUACAAUUCAGUGUUUUUAGUAGAGUAUAUUCACAAUGUUCUGCAACCAUCAUAACUAUCUAAUUCCAGAAUAUUUUAAUAACUUAAAAAAAAAAUACCCUAUUCCCAUUGACAGCCACCUUCCAUUCUCUUUUUCCCCCAGCCUCUGGAAAUCAGUAAUUUAUUUUCAAUCCAGUUUCACUGUUUAAAUAUCUUAACAGUAUUCCUUUUUUAUAAGACAAUUGUUCUUUUAUUUCUUCAACUUAUAUUAAAUGCUUAGGCAUUCUCUACUUUUAUCCACUGACAAAAAAAUCAAGACAUGUUUUCCUAAUAGCAAUUGAAAGAGAGAAAAUAACUACAAAACAUUUAAUCCAAUCCCAUAUUAUUUUCAGACUUCCUUAAUUCUCCUUUUAAAAUUAUUAAUUUAUUUCUGAGCUUGAGAAAUUGUAUAACAUUAUGAUUAAAUUUUAUCUGAUUCUAGGCAAAUGAAAAAUGACAACAGAUUGAAAGGAUAUGAAAAGUCAUAUUCAAUAACCUCCCAUAUAGUCAUUUGGGUUUUUUCCAGCUUCCAAUCCCACACUUCCCUGACCUAAAAUAGAUAAGGAAAGUCUCAUCUUUAAUUAAACAACUUGAAGUAAUUUGGAUUUUUUUUGAAUAUACACUAUUUCUCAUGAUCUUUUUAAGGCCACAUCUGAAAUAAAAAUAUUUUAUUGCAAGCUUUGGAUAAAUAUGCAGUUAAGAAGUAUGACAUAAUAUGUCCAUUUACCCAUAUAUACUUAUCAAGUAAUAAUUAUUGUUUUCCCCUGUCUAUUCUACAAAAGAUUUUAAGUAGCUGUGUUUUUAAAUUUAGUAAUUUUUAACUUGAAUCUCCACUGUUCUCAGACAGCAUAUCAGCUCCUGCUUUCCAAACAAACUUCGUAGGUCUUGGGAAGAAGAAAGCCUCAUGACUAAGAACUCUCUCUUGAAUCAGACAGCUUGAAUUCAAAUCCUACCUCUAUUCUUAUUAGUCAUAUGAACACAGGAGAACCAUAUCCAUUCAGCUCACUUUGGACCACCUGUGGAGCCUCAUAACCAGGGAAUAGGGAAUCUCCUGAGGUCCAAAUUUGUGUGCCAGCAGGUCCUUCAGGACAUAUUCCAGAAGAAAGCAUUGUUAUCCUAGGAGAUGAUGGUUCCAUGCGUGUUAUUGCCCCUGAAGACUUUCCAGUGGGUCAAGAUGUGGAGGUAAAAGACGGUGAUAUUGAUGAUUCUGACCCUGUGUACGCCAAGUUUGCUUGACUUCACUUAAUCUGCUGGAAGCUGAUCCUUUUCAUGUCCAUGUUUAAGGAAGUGUUGAAGGUCACAUCACUCAAAGCCAACAUCAGCAGGCAUCCUACCAGGAUAAUCUCUGAAGAGGUCAGAGGUGAGAAUGACACAGGGAAGAGGCAAAUUUUACCAGUCCAGUUCAAGGAAUUUCUCACUCUUUCUUAUGGGGGAACUCUUUUCAAUAGAAAAGGAAAGGGUGCCAGUAAAAAGACAAUAGAAUUCCUUCCAUUUUAUGUAGAUUUAUUUUGUUCAUGAGAAAAAGGAAUAAAACAUUUGUUUUCUCAAUGUUUUAAGGAAGGAUAUAAUGUUUUGUUGAAGGUAGGCCAUUUUUGUGGGUUUACUAGUGCUAUGGACUAAAUUGUGUCCCCUCUCCACGCUUCACAUGUUCAAACCCUAACCCCCAAUGUGAUCGUACUGGUCCUGUAAGGAUGUAAUAAAGGCUAAAUGAAUUCAUAAGGGUUGGACUCUAAUCCAACAGGGCUGGUACCCUUAAAGAAGAGGAAGAUAUACAAGAACUUUCUUUAGGCAGUGUGAGGACACAGUAAGAAAGUGAUCCAUCUGCAGUCAAGGAAGAGAGUCCUCCCCAGAAACCAAACCCUGUUAGAAUUUUGAUCUUGAACUUGCUAGCCUUCAGAACUGUGAGAAAAUGAAUCUCUAAUGUUUAACCCACUUAGUCUAUGUUACUUUAGUAUGGCAGCCUAGAGCCUACUAAGACAACUUGUAAAACAAUGUGUCAACGUGCUUUCUGUUUCAUUUGUAUUGGCCUCCAUUCUUUUGAUAUCUAACAAGAGUUAUAAAUGUUCAUUUGAG